rnacentral:rRNA from 1 species
GACGAACGCUGGCGGCGUGCUUAACACAUGCAAGUCGAGCGGUAAGGCCCCUUCGGGGGUACACGAGCGGCGAACGGGUGAGUAACACGUGGGUGACCUGCCCUCAGCUCUGGGAUAAGCCUGGGAAACUGGGUCUAAUACCGGAUAUGACUCCAUGACGCAUGUCGUGGGGUGGAAAGCCUUGUGCGGCUGAGGAUGGGCCCGCGGCCUAUCAGCUUGUUGGUGGGGNGAUGGCCUACCAAGGCGACGACGGGUAGCCGGCCUGAGAGGGCGACCGGCCACACUGGGACUGAGACACGGCCCAGACUCCUACGGGAGGCAGCAGUGGGGAAUCUUGCGCAAUGGGCGAAAGCCUGACGCAGCGACGCCGCGUGAGGGAUGACGGCCUGGU